rnacentral:rRNA from 1 species
GACGUAGGGCGCGAGCGUUGUCCGGAUUUAUUGGGCGUAAAGCGCGUGUAGGCGGUCCGGUAAGUCCGCUGUGAAAGUCGGGGGCUCAACCCUCGGAUGCCGGUGGAUACUGUCGGGCUUGAGUACGGAAGAGGCGAGUGGAAUUCCUGGUGUAGCGGUGAAAUGCGCAGAUAUCAGGAGGAACACCGGUGGCGAAGGCGGUUCUCUGGGCAUUACCUGACGCUGAGGAGCGAAAGCGUGGGGAGCGAACAGG